rnacentral:misc_RNA from 1 species
AGUCGUAACAAGGUUUCCGUAGGUGAACCUGCGGAAGGAUCAUUGCACACACAAAACAGUUGCAGCAAACUUUGCGAACUUCAUGAAUGUCCCCCUUUGUGUUUGGGGGGGCCCCUCUGGGGCAUCGUCGUCCUCCUCGCUAUUCCUGGCCAGGAGCCACUACUUAACCAACUCAACUUGAGUUGGUGGGUGGUGGCUUAGUGAGGAUGGUGGUGGUGUCCCGGGGCCUCCUUCCGAACACAUCCAAGUCCCCCCCUUCGGGGGGCGGGCUUGGGCAACCAACCGAUUGCGCAAUGCAUCAACACCUCCAAUAUGACUGAGUAUAAUAAGGCGAUCGGGACGCUGCCUGCCUGCAAAGGCGACGGCGUCCCCGAGUUGUUGUGAUAAACCAAAAACAACUCUCAGCAACGGAUAUCUUGGCUCCU